AUGUUACUCCCUCCGUUCGGAAUUACUUGUCUCGGAAAUGGAUGUAUCUAGAACUAAAAUCCAUCUAGAUACAUCCAUUUCUGUGACAAGUAAUUCCGAACGGAGGGAGUAGAUA
rnacentral:pre_miRNA from 1 species